CGAGUCUUAACUGGGCGUUAAGUUGCAGGGUAUAGACCCGAAACCCGGUGAUCUAGCCAUGGGCAGGUUGAAGGUUGGGUAACACUAACUGGAGGACCGAACCGACUAAUGUUGAAAAAUUAGCGGAUGACCUGUGGCUGGGGGUGAAAGGCCAAUCAAACCGGGAGAUAGCUGGUUCUCCCCGAAAGCUAUUUAGGUAGCGCCUCGUGAACUCAUCUUCGGGGGUAGAGCACUGUUUCGGCUAGGGGGUCAUCCCGACUUACCAACCCGAUGCAAACUGCGAAUACCGAAGAAUGUUAUCACGGGAGACACACGGCGGGUGCUAACGUCCGUCGUGAAGAGGGAAACAACCCAGACCGCCAGCUAAGGUCCCAAAGUCAUGGUUAAGUGGGAAACGAUGUGGGAAGGCCCAGACAGCCAGGAUGUUGGCUUAGAAGCAGCCAUCAUUUAAAGAAAGCGUAAUAGCUCACUGGUCGAGUCGGCCUGCGCGGAAGAUGUAACGGGGCUAAACCAUGCACCGAAGCUGCGGCAGCGACGCUUAUGCGUUGUUGGGUAGGGGAGCGUUCUGUAAGCCGUUGAAGGUGUGCUGUGAGGCAUGCUGGAGGUAUCAGAAGUGCGAAUGCUGACAUAAGUAACGAUAAAGCGGGUGAAAAGCCCGCUCGCCGGAAGACCAAGGGUUCCUGUCCAACGUUAAUCGGGGCAGGGUGAGUCGACCCCUAAGGCGA
rnacentral:rRNA from 1 species